CCACAUUUUUUUAACUUCUAUUUUAGUAACUUCUUCUCUCAAAUAAAAAGUAACUUCUAUACUUUUUUAUUUUCAUCAAAUCAUUUACAUUUUUUAACACAUUUUAUCUAUAAUCUAUAACAUUAAUAAAGGGAAAAUAUCUCUUUUGGUGUAGCCUUUUUUUGAAAAUCUCAAAAUACCCUUCAGAACUCUUCUUUAAUACUUUCCAAAACCAUACUUUUCUUUAACUUCCAUAACCAACAAAUAAUAUUUUUUAUCUUCUCUUCUCUCUAUUUUCUCUGCCCUCUUUGUACGUAUCACUAUUUCUAAUUUUCUUCUUCUUCAAAUUCGGGAAAAGGAUGAAAUAUCCAUUUCUCCCGUUCUUGAAUUUUUGUUUCUAUUGAUAGACACACACAUGGUUUAAAUUUGAAAAGGAGUGAAUUUUCUCUCUUUC
rnacentral:lncRNA from 1 species